rnacentral:rRNA from 1 species
CGAACGCGAAAGUCCCGAAAGGGAUGAGUAGAGUGGCAAACGGGUGAGUAACGCGUGGGUGACCUGCCUUCGAGUGGGGGAUAACGUUCCGAAAGGGACGCUAAUACCGCAUGAGAUCCCGCCUUUGAACAGGCGGACAUUAAAGCUGGGGAUCGCAAGACCUAGCGCUUGAAGAGGGGCCCGCGUCCGAUUAGCUAGUUGGUGAGGUAACGGCUCACCAAGGCUUCGAUCGGUAGCCGGCCUGAGAGGGCGGACGGCCACACUGGGACUGAGACACGGCCCAGACUCCUACGGGAGGCAGCAGUGGGGAAUUGUUCGCAAUGGGCGCAAGCCUGACGACGCAACGCCGCGUGGAGGAUGAAGAUCUUCGGGUCGUAAACUCCUUUCGAUCGAGACGAACGGCCUCCGGGUGAACAAUCCGGAGGAGUGACGGUACCGAGAGAAGAAGCCCCGGCUAACUCCGUGCCAGCAGCCGCGGUAAUACGGGGGGGGCAAGCGUUGUUCGGAAUUACUGGGCGUAAAGGGCUCGUAGGUGGCCAACUAGGUCAGACGUGAAAUCCCUCGGCUUAACCGGGGAACUGCGUCUGAUACUGGAUGGCUUGAGUUCGGGAGAGGGAUGCGGAAUUCCAGGUGUAGCGGUGAAAUGCGUAGAUAUCUGGAGGAACACCGGUGGCGAAGGCGGCAUCCUGGACCGACACUGA